GCCUUCAUGGUGUAGUGGUCAGCACACUCGGAGCGUAUUCGAGAGGUCCGUGGUUCGAGUCCCGGCGAAGGCA
rnacentral:tRNA from 1 species